GGAAAAUAUAAGAUGGCGCUUUGAGUUAUUUGGUUAUUAUUUGUUCAGUUAUUCAUGAUAAACCAUGUAUAUAAAUUAUAAGCAUCGGCGCAAGAGACGAAGAAGCUUUCCACUAGUUGUAAGUUUCUUAGGACAAAUGAGAAGUUACACUGGGAUAAAAUUUUACGAAGAAAGGAAAUGAAAUAAAUCAGAAAUCAUUUAGCCAAGAAACUAAAAAGCUUCCCACCAAGUUGUAAGUUCCUUAGGACAAAUGAAAAAUUAAACUGCCAUGUUAAUUUAUGAGGAAUGGAAAUGAAUCAGAAAUGUAAAUAUAAAAGGUAUUAGGAUCACUUAUUCGGAAACCACUCAUGAAGUUUUAUCUUCUUCAGCCACUCCAACCAAUUGAUUGCAUCAAUCUACUAGCACACCAAAAUAAUUGGGAGAUCCCGGGUUCGAACUCUUAGAACAUUAAUUAAAGUCUAUACACAUUUAGAUAUUGACAUAAGCACAAGUUACUGUCCUAGAUGUGGACUUUCAUAAGUAAUUUUAUGUAUUUAGUAUGUAAUUUGUAACAAUGUAAUUUAUUCCUUCAACAGUAUAUAUCCACUUGUGUUCAAUUGUCUCAACUAAGGUUUGUAACCUGGUGCUCUUUGAACAUUGGAGUUGAUGAAUUGACAAUGAUAACAAGUAUCUAAAGGUUGAAUUUAGUUUAAAAUUUAAUUGCUAAAAGUCUAUCCGUUUCAGUUGUUUUGGUUUAUUUAUCUCUUAUGUGUCGGUUGGAAUUUUUAUGACAUUUUUUAUUUACCUUAACCCAGGUACUUUUUUGUUUGCUUAGGGAAUGUUGAAGAUUUUAUUUUGGGGAUAGUUACUCGUAUCAAAUUUAUCGAUACUUGAUUAAAUUAAUUCUUUAUACACAUCAUCGGUUUUGAUUUCAUAUCCGAGACUAUCUGUAUCGGUGUAUAGAAGUUUACAAUUUUCAAUUCCGCUCUUUUUAAGCAUAAACGAGUAACGAAAAUUGUAAAUGCACAACUUAGAACAACGUUGGUGUUAGC